AAAAGAAACGCUGACAUCAAUCUGCAGGGGGAUGACUGGACCAAUAUCUGCAGCAACAGCAGCAAUGGCAAUUUUUAAGAAGUAGCUCGGUUAGUAAUACUGCGAUAGCUUGUUACACAUCUGAAAAUAGUUCUCUCUAAACAGCUUCUUAGACAAAGCACAGAGUGGAAAUCCCCAGCUGGAACUGAACUGGUGCUGCUGAUGUCACCUUAACAACAAAGUCAGGGUGAGGAAGACCAGUGCAGGCAGUGUGCAUGCUCACCUGGCUGUCUGCUUCGUGACCAGGUAUGGACUGAGCCAUCGCCUCUGUGUACAUGAAGUAGGGCUAUUACUGAUCCUGAUGAGAGAUUAUGAGGCUGAAAAAGAGAACAGGACAGAACACGCAAACACCAGCCUUGCCAGGGGUAUAGUAAUGAGGCUGGCAUGAAUACCAUGGCAUGCAGGUUUCACAGACUUCCUAUCAAGCUGUUAUGAAACUGCCUCUUAAAGUCUUCAGAACAUUGAUUUUGAGUCAUUGGCAUUCUUGAAUUUAGAUGUGGCAUGAAUUAGUUAUUUAUCAAUUGAAAUUUCUAAAAUUAAUGGAUUAACAGGAAAAGAUUCUGAUUUUCA
ensembl:lncRNA